rnacentral:rRNA from 1 species
CACGUAGGGUGCAAGCGUUGUCCGGAAUUAUUGGGCGUAAAGAGCGCGUAGGCGGUCCGAUAAGUCGGCUGUGAAAGUCAGGGGCUCAACCCUUGAAAGCCGGCCGAUACUGUCGGACUAGAGUCCGGAAGAGGCAAGUGGAAUUCCCGGUGUAGCGGUGAAAUGCGCAGAUAUCGGGAGGAACACCAAUGGCGAAGGCAGCUUGCUGGGACGGUACUGACGCUGAGGCGCGAAAGCGUGGGGAGCAAACGGG